rnacentral:lncRNA from 1 species
AUGAUUAACAAGCAAUUAUCAAGAGUAUGUUAUAAGUUAAAUCGAUACUUCAUUUAUAAGUUUGUUACUCUCAGUAUAUUUGUAUAAAUUGAUAAAGAUACAUUUCAUUGUUUAUAUGAAUGAAUCUAACCUUGAGAUGCAGCAAAGUGUGGAUUGAGUCGACCCAAAGGAUGAUUGGGUCGACCCCGGCACAUCAGGAAAGCAUUUGGCAUACUUCUGCAAAAAUGGCACAGAUGAACAGUAAGUUGGGUCGACCCAAGGAAAGCAUGAGUCGACCCAAACAUCAAGCUUCUCAAACAACUCAGAAAAUGGUUCUCUGGAAAUACUGAGAGGGUCGAC